rnacentral:lncRNA from 1 species
AUGACGACAAGCGUGACAGAACUACCCACCACCAAAGGACCAAACAGCGUGACCAGGAGGAGCAGGGAUCCUGGGCCCGGGAGAAGAGUGAGUGGAGGACCUCAUGGACAUGGGAGGAGGUUAUGGCAGGGGACAAGACCCUGCCAUGGAAACAGGCGGAAACAGCAAGGGAGGAGCGGCGGCGAUACCAGGAGUCACGGCAACGAGGCAAGCACGAGAGGCAGCUCCCCAUUUUUUUUGGGGGGGAGGCACAAGGGGAGAGUGGCAGAGACAGGGUUUAGACCUGAGCCAACUCCUCGUGCUUACCAUGGGGAGCGAGUGACCGGUCAAGCACCAUGCUAUCCAGUUCUACGCACCAUGCCUUCAGUGCGCAUCCACAGCCCGGUGCGCUCUGUGCAAGCUCCCCGCAGUGGCCGUGCUAGAGUGGGCAUUCAGCCAGGAUGGAUUGUGCCGGCUCAGCGUUCCUGGCCUCCGGUGCGUCUCUUCGGCCCAGGUUAUCCUGCGCCAGCUCUACGCACGGUGACCCCGGUUCGCCAGCAAAGCCCAGUUUGGCCUGUUCCAGCUUCCCGCACUUGCCGGGCUAAGGGGGGUAUCCAGCCAGGACGCGUUAUGCCAGCUCGGCGCUCCAGACCUCCGGUGCGCCUCCACGGUCCAGUGUGUCCUGCGCUGGCUCUACGCACUAUGCCUCCAGUGCACCGUCAUAGCCCAGUGCGUCCUGUGCCAGCUCUCCACACUCACCGAGCUAAAGUGGCUAUCCAGCCAGGACACGUUGUGGCAGCUCCACAUACCAGGCUUCCAGUACGUCUCCUUAGUCCGGUGAGACCUGUUCCGGCUCCACGUACAAAGCCUCCGGCGACGAUCCGCGGCACGAAGCCUCCGGCGGCGAUCCGCGGCACAAAGCCUCCGGCGGCGGUCCCCUGUCCGCAGCCUCCGGCGACGGUCCCCUGUCCGCAGCCUCCGGCAACGGUCGGUGGUCUGGUUCCUACGGCGAUGAUCGGCGGCCCGGUUCCUCCAGUGAAGGUCCAUGCACCAGGGCCACCACCAAAGCGGAGGUAUCUGCGGGUGGAGGGGUGGUCUACAUCCCGCACCGGAGCCGCCGCCGUGUAG